rnacentral:lncRNA from 1 species
GUGGAAAUAAGGGAUCUUGACUCGGGCUUUAUGAAGGCACAGAACAAUUGCGGCGUGCACGCGAGCUCCCGGCCUGAGCGACAACAGACCCAGGAAGGCCCCAAAGACCCCGGAGGGGGUUUCUUCAGCUGCCUGCCUGCCUGCCUGCCUGUGAUCACCCGGCGGCGUGCGCGCGAGCUCCCGGCCUGCGCGCGAGCUCCAGCCUGCGCAACAACACACCCAGGAAGGAAGGUAGCCGCGUGGGCGCCCUUGAAACACCCACACGACCCCCCACGUUCUCAAAACUCCUGAUCAGGCCAGUCCUUAGACCAACUCUGCAGAGGCAUAGGUUCCCAUGAAGGGUAGUUUUCUGAGCUCCGAACUUUGAUCAUCUUUAAAGAAAGGGCAGGGGAAACCUGUAAUAGAACGGAGUGGAGUUCAACCCUGAGGGUAAGGAAACUAAAGUUAGGCUUUGUAGAUUGUGUUCAGUCUCAGUCGUGAGGAACAGCCAUUGGCUAGCUAUAACCAGGGGAUUGGGUUCCGCAUAUGACUGUGCAUGUGGUAUAAUAUGAGAUCAGAGAUAGCCUGAAAGAGGACCUUCAAAUUCUUUUUCUUUCCCUCUCUCUUGUCUCUUUUUUCCUCUUUCCACCCUAAAAUUUCUUUCUUUUUUCUGUCCUGUCUCUCCAACUCAGUCUCUUGCUCCACCAUAGUGUCCCUCAUCUCCCUUUUUAUUCCAGUUCCUGAAGAACUCAGACUUCUUUUUUUAUUUUUUGUUUUUAGGACGGGUUUCUCUUUAUGUUCUUUUCUCCAGUCAUUUUACCUCACUCAUGGCUCUGUACCUUCAAGGGAAGGCAAGCGCCUGUUACUGUUAAGGGGAUAUAUUCCUGUCCUUAUUCCUGCACUCUCUCUAUCCCCCCUGAACUUAAUAGCUUUGUAAAGAUAGUAAGGUAAUUCUACAACCUCUGGAUUCACUUCAAACCUGCUCUAAUUCUUUCACUUAUCUAAUCCUCUUGUUCUAAGUCGAACCCCCCAUCCUAAAUGGUAAAGAUGCCAUAUUGAAAAGAAUAUUCACUGCAAACAUACUAUGAGCUGCUUCUUGAAAUUAAUCUAAUUCACAUGAGUUAAAGGUGAUACAUUAAUGACUACCAUAAGUGGUCAGUUGGCAAGCUGUGCCUGAUCCUAUUGGGCUGCUGAAUGUAUCAAUUGGGACAAAGAGUGGUGAUUGAUUUAAAGAGUUGUUUUCUCUGAUAUUAUGAAAACGAGAAUGUCUAUGAG